rnacentral:rRNA from 1 species
UACAGAGGGCCCAAGCGUUGUUCGGAUUCACUGGGCGUAAAGGGUGCGUAGGUGGUCGGGUAAGUCUGAUGUGAAAUCUCCAAGCUUAACUUGGAAAUGGCAUCGGAUACUAUUCGGCUCGAGGAAUGGAGGGGAGACUGGAAUACUUGGUGUAGCAGUGAAAUGCGUAGAUAUCAAGUGGAACACCAGUGGCGAAGGCGAGUCUCUGGACAUUUCCUGACGCUGAGGCACGAAAGCCAGGGGAGCAAACGGG